UUUUAAUUUUGGCAAAUCAGGCUGUGAUUGAUAGUUGUCUUUGACAUCUUGCAGGUUCUAUUCAAUGUAUUAAAUGUUAUUUUUUUCCUGACAGACACCUUGACUGGUUAACACAUUACAUUACGUCACACUUUACUAAGAUGUAAGAACCAUCAAAAUAAAGCUUUGAAAUAUGAAUUUAUUUUACCUGUGCAUGCAUUAGCAAGUCUACCAAAAGUGUUAAAGUGUGUAAAAUUCUAAUGUAUUCAUCAAACAAAGAACACUGGAUGAACAUAAAGUAAGAAAAGCACAUUUAGUUAAAAAUUCAGAUACUGUAGCUCCCCCAGUCCAUAUGAACACCUAACAGCCUAACAGUACAUAUUUAUCUGGGCUAUCUAAUGCUGAGUAAGUUGCCAUGUUAAGUGGGUAAACAGUCUAGGUUCACAUUUCAGAAAAUAGUCUGUAUGUAAAGAUGGACACGGUGAUGCUGUUUCUUUCCUUUGGGUAAAACUGAACAUCAAUUAUUAGAUCAGAAAAAUUAUGUUUUCAGAACAAAUCUACCUGUAAAAACUGUAAUUAUCUUUGGGGAAAAUGCACUGGAUGUGUUUUAUGAGUUUUUAGUUUGGUCCCACGAAUAACAUGGAGGCAGGAUUUAAACCUUUACCACAGCCAGCCACCAGGGGGAGCUCAACAUGUCAUGUAUUCACAUUUAGAGGGCUACAACGCUGCCAGUCUUUAUAUUCAGUGUGUGGUUUCAAAUGGUAAUACAUGUUUGAUGAAUAAAUAGUUUUUACAUGCAGGGUUUGCAUUUUACCAUCUUACGGUUGUCCUUUGCAGACAGUCCUAGAAAUACUGGUCACAAGCUCCUUCAAGUACCUUUAACUAUGCUAAAUUACUAUCACUUGUAUAAGUUGUAGUGUUCUCUACUGUAUUUAUUAGCCAGAGCAGGUGAAAUGUGAAAUAAGUUUAUAAACAUUAUUAUUAUCAGCAAUAUUACUGUAUAAUGUUAUGAUUAAUGCUUAGUGUUAAUUAUGCUUAUGUUACUCUUUUUGUAAAAACACACUCUCUAACUUUGACUCAGUGUAUAUGUCCAUUUGGUACUGUUUAUCUCAGCCUCAACUCAUUUUAUGUCCACUUAAAUAAACCAGAAAAGAAACA